rnacentral:rRNA from 1 species
AUGGCGUCUUUUUCUGCCGCCCUCGUCGCGCUGCUGCUCGCCAGCUGCGCCGUGGCGGCCGCGGCCACGACGUUCGACGUCGGCGACGGGCACGGCUGGCAGACCGGCGUCGACUACACGGCCUGGACGUCCGACAAGACCUUCGCGGUCGGCGACAAGCUAGUGUUCAACUACACUAGGAAGGCGCACACGGUGACGGAGGUGAACGACAGCGGCUACAGCGCCUGCUCGGGCGCCAACUCCCUGAGCAACGACGACAGCGGCGCCACCACCGUCACGCUCACGAUGGCCGGCGUGCACUACUUCAUCUGCGACGUCACGGGCCACUGCCCCAACGGCAUGAAGCUCACCGUCACCGUGACGGUCGCCGGGGGCUCGACGACCGGAGGCACCGUCCCUACGGGCGCCUCCGGUGUGUCCCGCGGGCCGGCGGUGAGCGCCGCUGUCGCCGCUGCCGAGGGGGCUCUGGUCGCGCUCGCGCUCUUCUCAUGA